UGAGUUUGAAGGGGGUAACAUGGAAAUUUUGGGCGAAAAUUCUGCAGAAACUGUAAUAAGAGAGGCCAUUCCAUACCACAUUGCCCUGCCAAUGAAUGUUGGUACUGUCACAAGCUUGGUCAUAUCCUUCCGAGAUGUCCCACCAAAGCUUCGAACUCCGGUCAGAGCAAACAACAAUAUUAUGGGCUAAUAUAGAUCGUUAUAAUUCAUGAGUACACCAAACAUAUUGAGAAUAAUUAUCAAUUUAUACACUAACAUGUCCUUCGAGGCACAGUUCACUUAAUCUCUUUCUGCUCCUCUUAUUAAACUGCUGAUAUCUUCACUAAGGCUCAUUCUCCUGACUGCUUUCAUGCCUUGGUUUUUAAACUCAAGCUGGCGCUUGCAUUACCACCUUGAGUUUGAAAGAGGUAUAACAGCUCAUAUAAGCUCAUAAUAUUUUUCUUUAUCAAUGUAAUCUUGUAUCAACUUAUAUUAUUUUUGUUUGCUAUCUUGAUUUUAUUGGAGUAAUUUUAGAGAUCACAUAACAACCUCUAUCAGUCUAUAAUAUUUUCACUGUUAAUAUAAUUCUCUAUCAACCUAUAUUAUGUUCAUUGUAUAGAACUGAACACUAAUAUAUAUGACCAAAUAUGAUUCUCAUUUCUUCUAGCAAAUGCUGCUACUAAUAUUCUAAAGACAAUGAUUUGAGGCCGGAAGAUUUUUGAAACACAAUGUUGCAAACUUUGAGGGUAGACCUUCGCCCCGUUGUAAGGUUUCUGCAUCGUGACCUAGAGAUCAUGGGCACUGAAUCAGUCCAUCCACAUGUGAAAAUAAAACUGAGUAAAUCCAAACCCAAGCUGAACAUUAUUUCCCACUAUAGGUACUAGUUGGUUGGCCUGUCAUCUCAUGACAGAGCCAGGAGAUCCAACAGAUGAAAGAGUCAGGAUAAACAAGAACCUCAUCGCAGUACCACUCCAAUGCAAACCAAUAAAGCGUGCUGCAUUUGGGAAAGCCAACAAAUCCUGCAAGGCGCUGGCACAGCACUCAAUUCACGAGGAAGAGGAAGCAUUCACGAGCUCAAAAAUCUUGAGAGGUUCACGCCAAGGAUUUUCAUGCAGUGGUCGCGACAAAGCGCAGGCGCAAGGCACAGGCAGCUCAGACAGUCUCCGAGACAUGGAUUCAUGCUGGUGUUACCCAGUUAGGUGGAUUCCAUGGCCAGAUACGUACUGAAAUGUCUCCAGACUCCUGAAAUCAACUAGAGAAAAAACAAAGAAAUGGUACUGCACACAUGAAUGCUAGCAGCAAACAAAUAGUAACUGAAACAUCCAGAGUCCACAAUCAUUUAUCCAACAAUUCAUGCAAGAUUAGGUCAGAACCAUCAUGUAAUUAUGUGACACAAACCAUCAUGCAAUUAUGUUGAAGGAUUCAGAAAACAUUAUAGGAAGGAGAACUAAGCUUUACCGAAAUUAUUCAGUGUCACAUCACGGCUGGUUAUUGUAAUUAUCCGCAGCAAUUUUAGCAACUAAGCAUUGCAGUUAAAUAUCAAACUUCACACAUAUCAGUAGUUAGCAUAUUGCUCGAAAAUUUAAAUGUUCAUAAGAGUACAAAGUUGGCAAUGCACUAAUCAGAGGAAAUAAAAGACCCUCGCAUACAUAACUACACCUGACAAGCAAAGCUUUCACCGUGGUCCUCACUAAAACAUGUUAUAGAAGAUUAAAAAAUAUAGUUCCAUUCAUUUCCUUUAUUGACAGUAAAACCUCAAACACUCUAGCUACUUUGCAGCAGUUAAAUCGGCGAAGGCAUCAUAUCCUUAUCCAAGCUCCAUGUAGUGCUGUUUGAACCCAACCAUGUACUCAUCACUUAAAGAAAUGAUUUGAGUCAAACAAAAUGAAUACUUGAAGUGGACGACAAAGAAAGAAAGAAAUCAGUACCUCCACAUUAUCUCAAAGCACCUUACACCGUCCAGACGCAAGGUGGUGUGUCAGAUCUCGGCCCAGCAACUGUCCGGUAGACAUAGAGCUUCUCAACAGGGCAAUCAUCGGGCCGUGAAUCCCACGACCCUCCGCUCCACUCAUCGAUAACCUCCACAUUAAGCCAUGGCAUCUUCUCAGCCAGCAACCUGCAUGCUCCUAAGCUCACAGAGCAUGAUGACAUCCAAAGGGAUCGCAUUGUCACUAGCUUAGCAGCAUUGGCCAACAAUGCCUUGUCUCCAAAGGGGCAGUCCCUGAUUUCCAGCUUCCGUAAGCUCUUGCAGCCUGAGAGAAUGUAAUGGAGACCAGCAUCACUAUUCCCAGCAAAGGCAACCGAGAGCAUCUCAAGGCAAUUUGCAGAGGCCCCAAUGGAUCUAAACACAUCGUCGGUGAGGAGACCCGAGAGGGAGAGUCGCCUGAGAUCCAUGCAAGAUUCUACAAUGGCGCUAAAGCCCGCAUCUAGUGGCUCUAGAGUGAUAUAGUCCGGUGUCUGUGGCUCCAUGAUGCAUAGACGGAAGCAUGUAAGAUUGGGACGGUUCUUGGCAACCGUGAAGAGAGCAGCAUUGGUCAUUUGCCGGCAGAAGUAGAGGACCGACUGGAGCAUUGGGCAUCCCGCAGAGACACUGACAAGGCCACGCUCAGUGAGAGAAACAGGCUGCGCUGCACCAUAAGGAUCAGAAGGGAAGACACGCAAUUCUUGAAGCCGCUUACAAGAUGAUGCCACAGCAGCUAGGCCAUUAUCCUCAAUCAAAUCCAUUACCUAACAGUUGAUGUUCUUUCAUAAUUAGUGUAUAUAAAAAUCAAACAGAGAUCAACAAGGACAAACAGAUAAACAGAAUAUGUGAAACUAAAAGGCCAUGAUCAGAACUUUGCCUGAAGUUCUAGGCUAAUCAGCAUCCAAAUGAUAUGGUUUUGGCAACCAUAUUCAAAAGCAAUGACAAAAACGAAAGAAAUAAAAAUUGGCAAUCCUAGGGCACCAGCAAAAUUUAACUCUGGUUAAGUGGAAAUGACAGGUCAGCUUUGUGAAUAUUAAGGCAGGGAAUCAUUUCGCAAUAUAGAAGGAACAGGAACUGAUGCAGAUUUACCCAUAGUCGUUCGAGAUUCUUGCACCCGCUGACUAGUUUGAUGAGGUCAGGGCUCUGAAUGGUAGCAUAACUUAAAUUCAGAGAUGUGAGGCCAUCACAGACUGAGUAGAUUGCUGGGAGAUAUGCUGGAACAGCUUCCCAGAUCCCAGAUAGGCUCCUCAUGCUUUUACAGCCCGCAAAGGCUGAUUCGAGCUUAGAGAAGAGCUCUGGAUGAUAUUCUGCGGAGAACCUGCCAGUUCCAAGGUCAGCCAGCUGGGGGGCCCUGCGCAGGAGGCUGACAAGCCUAUCAAGAGGCACAGCAUGGUUGAGCUUGAGGGUCUUGAGGUUGGUGCAUCUGCUCAUGAGGCGCUCGAGGACAGAGACAUGUACCUCCCCUUCCAAGCAAGCAAUGUUCAAAUUUACCAAAGAAGUGAAGGAAUCAGGAAAAUGGCUGAGCCAGUGCACACAAUUAUCCUCUACUUCAUUUUCCUGUAAGUCUAGCUCCCUCAGAUUUCUGCAAUAAUGAGCAUAAUCCAUGAAAAUAUUCAGGAGAAUCUUUAUUUAUCACCAGAAGUUGAUAGUUCUAAGUUCCAACAAAUGAAUUGAUAAAAAAUUAUGUUUCAUAUGCAAGAAUUAUUUUCAAAAAAAAAUAAAAAAUUAAGCUAGUGAUAAAUAUUUAUGUUGAAGUGGCAAUCAGAAACUACAUAGUUUUUGAUGAUCAAUACAGGGUAGACAAACAUAACGGACUGAUUGAACCUAAUUUAAUGUCAAGACAUAGCAAGAGAUGAGUUACAAGAGACAGCUGCUAUUUCACAAGAAAAGGAAUGAAAAUAUAAUGUUUAAGCACCUAAUGUUUUUUAGCAUAGAAACCAUUAAAGAUGUUGGGGGCGACUAGUAUUUUAUUUCUAAUAUUGCAAGAAGAUUGCCCUUUCCUGUUAGACAUCAAGUUUAAUAGUCUAAUACAUGCACUCACUUCAAGCACUGCACCAGUGCCUAUGGACUACAUCAUUUCUUGGGCUAUCAUACAUGACCUACCGAGAACAUGUUUGCUUAUUGCAGUAAGUAUCCAGAGCCGUGCACUAUAGCAAAACAGCUUCCUAUCAAUGCAGAGCACAGUUAAUAGGUGCAAGACAACAGGAUUAUGAUAUAUACCAUAAUCUGAAUAAUUCUAGGCAUUUCUAUAUACAACCAGCCAGCCAAGCCAUACGAUCAUCAGAAAAACUGAAAAAAAAAGUCACAUAUUUUAUGUAAAUUCUGUCCUUGCAGUAUGAAUAGAACUCUUUUAUAUUUCCGAUAUUACACUUACUACGAAAAUUUUCUUUUAUGGAAAUCUAUAAUUUCAGCUCAUUAGCUACCAAAGAUCUUUUGCAUUCCGCUAAUGUGUCAUUUUUUUAAAGAGAAUUCAAUCACCACUUAGUGGACUGAGAAUAUUUCCUAUCAGAUACAUUCAUAAUUUCCAACCUUUUUCUUGCAUAACUAAAGGGAGGAAAUGUAUGCACAGAAUUCAAGAAACAGUGAUCAAGGAUUUUAUAAAUUUGUUUAUUUGGUGGAAAGAAAAAGAACGACACAGACAGAAUUCCGGCAUAAGCCUAUAAGAUAUACAUCAGCUACGGGGCUUCCCUUGGUCCCUCUUCAUUUCAUUUUGAAUCAAAUGAAUCAGAACCAGGUAACAAAGAUCUGAAGGAGGAAUAGAAUCUCAAAAUGAGCGCCGACCAGAGAGGAUCGAUUUCCGCAAUGUAUUAAAAAUUGCACCUUUAUCCAGUUUAAGCACCAGAGGGGGAUCGCCACUUCAACCUUGGAUGUAAGUUUGAGACAAGAGUGAACGCAAUCCAGUCAACAAAACCAAAUUUUCAUUUCACCAAAGAGAUUUUUAGCAAAAAUUUCAAGUCAAAACCAGCCCUUUAAAUUUAGAGUUUCUUUUUCUGUCUCCCUUAAAUAAACGGCCCAAAAUGGAUCAUCUUCAAAAAAAUAAGCUUAAAUUCAUCCGACUACCGAAACCAUUGCGGAUCCGUACGAGCUUUUAUUACUCCAACAAAUGUUCCUUCAGCGUCCCAGUUUUGUUCCUAACCCUGGCAUCUAAACUCACUUCAAAAAUCAAAUUUUUAAGACAAAAUGACAAAAAUCACACAAAUAUUUGAGUCCACAUGAUCCUGGGACUUCUAUCUAAAUCACCUCCGAAUCAUCCCAACAAGAUCACCCUAAACUCCCCAGCAAGAUCACCCUAAAGUCCACAAAUUUAGAGUUGCAGACAUUCGAAAACGAGAAAUUUCUUCGGAU
rnacentral:lncRNA from 1 species